UGCCAAGAGGAGCAUGGAGAUGAUGAAGAAGGAAGUUCCGGAUCGGAUGUCGAGGUUUUCCAUCAGCGUCGUUGUCUCCUCGUACGGCCAGAAGCAAAUGAUUCUAUUCUGGUUGGAAAGCUUGAUGGCCAUUGGGCUUCCUAACGUGGCUGUAAUAGUUGUUAUAGUAGGCGAAAGCAAUGUCAGCUGUAGGAGUUGGUUACUCGCUCCAUAAACUAUAUACAGUUCA
rnacentral:lncRNA from 1 species